UCCUCUCUCCUUCCUGCUUGCCUGCCUCCUUCCCAUCCUCUCCCCUGCCUGCCUGUCUCCUCCAGCCGGGAGCAUGGGGCAACUGCACACCACCCACAACAGUGCACCACCUGCCCGUGACUCCUGGCUGGAGGAGAGGGUGGGAAAGAGGCAGGUGAGCUGGAAGGGGAGAGGA